GGGGAUGUAGCUUAGUGGCAGAGCACUUGGCUAACAUGCAGGAGGCCCUGAGUUCAAUCUUAGCACUGCAA
rnacentral:tRNA from 1 species